UACAGAGGGGUGCGAGCGUUAAUCGGAAUUACUGGGCGUAAAGCGUGCGUAGACGGCUAUCUAAGUCGGGUGUGAAAGCCCCGGGCUCAACCUGGGAAUUGCAUUCGAGACUGAAUAGCUAGGGUACGGUAGAGGGAAGUGGAAUUUCCGGUGUAGCGGUGAAAUGCGUAGAUAUCGGAAGGAACAUCAGUGGCGAAAGCGGCCGACUGGGCCGACCCUGACGCUGAGGCGCGAAGGCGUGGGAGCGAACGGG
rnacentral:rRNA from 1 species